UACGUAGGUGGCAAGCGUUGUCCGGAUUUAUUGGGUUUAAAGGGUGCGUAGGCGGUCUUCUAAGUCAGUUGUGAAAUACUUCAGCUUAACUGGAGAGGUGCAAUUGAUACUGGAAGACUUGAGUACUGAUGAGGUAGGCGGAAUGGACGGUGUAGCGGUGAAAUGCUUAGAUAUCGUCCAGAACACCGAUAGCGAAGGCAGCUUACUAAGGAGUAAACUGACGCUGAGGCACGAAAAGUGUGGGGGAUCAAACAGG
rnacentral:rRNA from 1 species